CCUCUCAACAGGGAUCACGGGUUCCCGUUAAAGAGUAAUUGUGCCAGGAGUUAUAGGUGCUCGUUCUGUCAAGUGGCUGGAUUCUAUCAAUAUAAUAGCAGAAGAAUGCCAGGGCUUUUUCAUGCAAAAGGACUACAAGAUGUUCCUACCAUCCGUGGAUUGGGGUAACAUCGACUGGAAUACGAGAAAACCACAAACGAAUUUCCCAGUUCAGGAGUUCACUAGAUUUUGCUUGGAUUGGUUUUUCUCUUAAAUUGCAUGUUAAUGUUCUAAGGCAGGAUAUUUAAUACCUUUACUUCCAAGUUCUCCAAUAAUCUGAAUAACUACGAAGACUAUGAUUUAACACACACCGAGAUUCCGAGAAGCUUCUUUUACAUACUAGUUUCAGUUGGUUCUGCAUCUGUUGGGUGGAUUUUACGCAUCAAUAACUUAUGUUUAAUGUUGCGGUUCUCUACCUUUCCAUUAUCAAGAAAACUUGUACUACAAACUGAAUUUGCUUUAAUGCGGUCCGACUAAUAUUGGUUUAAUUCAUUGUUGGCAGUCUGUGAUUUGUUCUUUGGAAGAUGUUCAGUCAAUAAAACCAGGAAAGGUAACAAUUGCCGGAUAUGCAGUAGCCAGAGGUGGCCGUGGGAUCGAACGAGUAGAUGUAUCUAUUGAUGGUGGAAAAACCUGAAUGUAAGCUAAUAUAUUUCAGAAAACCGGUAUCCCUUACAUAGCAGAUCACAUAAGCAGUGACAAAUGGGCAUGGGUGUUAUUUGAGGUCACAGUUGAUAUCCCACACAGUACUGAGAUUGUGGCCAAAGCGGUAGAUUCGGCUGCAAACGUCCAACCUGAAAAGGUGCAAGAUAUUUGGAACCUAAGGGGGAUUCUGAACACUUCAUGGCAUCGAGUUCAUGUCCGCGUCGGCCACUCAAAUAUGUAAAAUGAACCCUAAUGGGACAGUUUAAUAACUCGGCCAGCAUCCUGAGAUAUGUGGCACACGCUUUACCGUUUGUUUAGUUAAAAGAAUAGUAUCCCCUGGCUUUA